rnacentral:rRNA from 1 species
UACGUAGGCAGCAAGCGUUGUUCGGAGUUACUGGGCGUAAAGCGUGCGUAGGCGGUUUCGCAAGUCCGGUGUGAAAUCUCCCGGCUCAACCGGGAGGGUGCGCCGGAAACUGCGAGGCUGGAGUGCGGGAGAGGAGAGCGGAAUUCCUGGUGUAGCGGUGAAAUGCGUAGAUAUCAGGAGGAACACCGGUGGUGAAGACGGCUCUCUGGACCGUGACUGACGCUGAGGCACGAAAGCGUGGGGAGCAAACAGG